rnacentral:rRNA from 1 species
GUGCUCCCCCGCCAAUUCCUUUAAGUUUCUCCGGUUGAUCCUGCCGGACCCGACUGCUAUUUGGGUGAGGAUAAGCCAUGCGAGUCAAAUGGGAUACCUAAAUUUCCCAUGGCGAACUGCUCAGUAACACAUGAUCAACUUACCCUAUUGAGAAAGAUAACCUCGGGAAACUAAGGAUAAUAUUUCAUAAUUGAAUUGGCUUGGAAAAGUUUUUCAAUAAAAGGGAUAGGGAAAAUGGUCUCUAUCCGCUAUAGGAUAGGAUCGUGUUCUAUUAUGGUAGUUGGUGAGGUAAAGGCUCACCAAGCCGAUAAUCGAUAGGGGCCGUGAGAGCGGGAGCCCCGAGAUGGGCACUGAGACAACGACCCAGGCCUUACGAGGCGCAGCAGGUACGAAACCUCCACAAUACACGAAAGUGUGAUGGGGUUACCCAAAGUGUUCAUUAUUGAACUGUGGUAGGAGAGUAAUGUCCCCUACUAGAAAGGAGAGGGCAAGGCUGGUGCCAGCCGCCGCGGUAAAACCAGCUCUUCAAGUGGUCGGGAUAAUUAUUGGGCUUAAAGUGUCCGUAGCCGGUUUAGUAAGUUCCUGGUAAAAUCGGGUAGCUUAACUAUCUGUAUGCUAGGAAUACUGCUAUACUAGAGGGCGGGAGAGGUCUGAGGUACUACAGGGGUAGGGGUGAAAUCUUAUAAUCCUUGUAGGACCACCAGUGGCGAAGGCGUCAGACUG